ACACUGAGACACAGCAAAAAAGUGGCGCUUCGUGAGGAACAGUGCAAGAAAACUGAUGUUCACAAAGCUUUGUGAUGGGGUGGGGCUCGAGCCAAGGCGGUGCAGAUCCAGAAAAAGGCAAAUGCAAAACUAUGGAAAAGAUGGCAUGUUGACCAGAAUGACUGUUUGCUACGGGUGUCGCAAGACACCUCGACAACUCACAAGACAAGACGAUGCAUGAGAUUGGUUUCAAGAGAACGAGACGAGAUGAGAGUUUAACAUUCAUUUUAAGGAAAGUACAAUGACAAAAUAUGACAGCAUGACAAAACAUUGCAGGUCUGUUUUGAAAUGUUUAUUGUCCCACACAUUUACACUAAACAAUAUUAUU